rnacentral:rRNA from 1 species
UACGAAGGGGGCUAGCGUUGUUCGGAAUUACUGGGCGUAAAGGGCGCGCAGGCGGCCGCUCAAGUCAGGUGUGAAAGCCCCCGGGCUCAACCUGGGAACUGCACUUGAUACUGCAGUGCUAGAAUCUUGGAGAGGCGAGUGGAAUUCCGAGUGUAGAGGUGAAAUUCGUAGAUAUUCGGAAGAAACACCAGUGGCGAAGGCGACUCGCUGGACAAGUAUUGACGCUGAGGUGCGAAAAGCGUGGGGGAGCAAACAGG